rnacentral:lncRNA from 1 species
UCCAUGCCAGGGCAAACGAGAUAUAUUGGCAUUUCUGCUGUGGUCCAACUUGAAGCAUAAAAGAGUGCGCAGCUGGCAUGCAUUACACAACUCUGGCAUGCAUUUAAAAACACUUUGGCUUGUUAGAUCAGGAUAAACUGACACUGAGAAUGUCAGCUUUUAUAAUAAAAAUAAGAAUUAGCAACGCAACCAAAGCAGACGUGUGGAAAACUGCAUUCACGAGGAAGGGAAUUAGCAUUUGCAUUGCACUGCAUAUUUGUAAAUAAACCCAGGUUGGAAACAGCGACCCCUUCAGGCCGUUCUAAGACCCUGCAGGCUGGCGUCUCUGCUGUCAGUAUUCAGUGGGAGGGUACGUUAGACAGCAGCAGCCUCGGAGCUAAAACCAACGUGACAGACCGGAGUCUCAAUAACAGCACCCGAACCGAGAGCAGCAGUUCCAGAGAAACCUGAAUACUGCAUAUGGAGACCACCAGUUGUCAUUUGUCGACUGCUGCGUAAGGAUAACGAUUCAGCCGGCUCGACAGCAGCGACCGCGAACCGCAGUAACGUUAGAUGUUGUUGCAUUGUUCACGUGAAAGGAAGAAAAUCGCUGGUUUGCAGCGGAUCCUCGUGCAGUCGACCGGAACCGGACUCGGUUGUUGAUUUGUCGUAAUGUUUUAUCACGGGAUACAUCGUUACGCUGGAUACCGAAUGUAAUGAGUCAUUGCAUCACGCUGGAUUCAACAGCCCCGUGUUAAACUUGGCCUGUCGAGCAAACGGCACGAUGAACGCGUAGCUGCGCUAAAUUUAUGGAAUUUAUAUUUUCUCACCAUUCGGUUCUCCAGCCGUGAUUCUUUUGGUUCUUACAACUAUUUGGCGAUUCCCUCUAUUAAAUUAUUCGCUCGGUCAACUCAAGCAACUGCAGCUGUCGCUUUGUCUACAUCAGAGGGGAGUGGAGAUGACGAUACGAAAGUAAACCUGGACCUGGUUUUUGGGUUUUGGAGCCAGGUCUCCUGCACUCUAAAGGUCUGAAGAAUAUCAGGGCUCUUGCCCUUUUCCCUCUUGCGGUCCCUUAUGCCCAAUGACGGCUGUCUCUGGGUCACUGCAGGAUGGAUGAAGUGGAUUUGACAGUUUUUGUCUGUCACCAUCAGUGCUUGCCUCUCAGUGACUGUGUCUUGUUCUUUUACGUUUAUAAAAGAACCUCCUCUCUUGGGCUCUGGCCCCCUCACACUGUAAGAGUAACUGUUAG